rnacentral:rRNA from 1 species
GUGGCCGCCCUCGUCCUUGCCAUAUUUUUUGGGUACCUUUUGUUUCCUUAGCAGGUCCGCCUGCUCUGGUGCGGGUGCGGCCCCUUCACAGGGCGUGCGGCCCGCGCCGGAAGCGGCGGCCUCUGAGGACCCCUAAACCUUUUGUAAACGCUGUAGUCGUCUGAGAAAACAAAAACGAAUUAAAACUUUCAACAAUGGAUCUCUUGGUUCUGGCAUCGAUGAAGAACGCAGCAAAAUGCGAUAAGUAGUGUGAAUUGCAGAAUUCCGUGAAUCAUCGAAUCUUUGAACGCACAUUGCGCCCUUUGGUAUUCCUUAGGGCAUGCCUGUUCGAGCGUCAUUUCAACCCUCAAGCUCCGCUUGGUGUUGGGCGUCUGUCCCGCCGUCACGGCGAGGACUCGCCUCAAAUCGAUUGGCGGCCUCCCGGCAGCUCAACGCGCAGCAGACUUGCGCCGCGUGCAGCCAGCGGGGGGUUCAACCAUCAAGACUUCUCCAGUUUGACCUCGGAUCAGGUAGGGAUACCCGCUGAACUUAAGCAUAUCAAUAA